CUGCGUUGCCGCCAUGAUAUCUCUAGUGCUCAACAAAACGGGGGAGUUUCUUUUGUGCCGCUGUGCUGUUAAAGGAUCUUUACGCGAAAAAAGCAAACCAUCCACCGCACAAACAGCCGAUUUCCCCGUCGCAGCGACUCAGUUGAAUUUAAACCUCCGAACAAAGCAGCAAUGGCCAGAAGCACCAGAGUCCUGGGCCUAAUAUUCGCCAUGAUGUGUUUGGUUUGCUUUGCAAACUCACUGGGAGUGCAGGAAAAACUGGAGAUAAUGAAGGAGCAACUCCUGAGCWAUAAGAAAUUCAUAGAAUCUSAAAAGGUGAGUCAUUGAAUCCCUUUUUUUUGAAGUAUUUAGCCACUACAUAACUUGAUCACCCUUUUCAAUUCUCUACCCUACAGGCUAAAUUUGAGUCAAAACGUAAAAGUAUCAUGGACAUCGCGAACUGCAACAUGGCCAAAUUGAACAUUAUAGAGACCCUCACUCUCAACACCGACGCUACCGUGAGAAACUCAUUGACAAAUAUGGCCAAGUUGGUUGAGGACCUUGAAACAAAGUGGGAGGAAAUGAAUUUGUUAUUAAAAUACGCAGAUGAUGAGUCAACUGGAGACAAUUCAGUGGCCUACAUGUAGCCCGCAUGUAAAACCUGCACUUGCUACAUCCUCGCUUACCUUUGCUCUGUUGAUUUCUCCUCUGUAACAAAACCCUAGAAGAAAUAACAGAGUAUUAUUUUCUUUUGUAUCUCUUGGCUCGUCAGUCAAUUUUUAACUGCAUAAGCCUGUAUGAACACUUCUACACAAAUAAAAUUGAAUUGAUUCA